rnacentral:rRNA from 1 species
AUUGAACGCUGGCGGCAUGCCUUACACAUGCAAGUCGAACGGCAGCACGGGAGCAAUCCUGGUGGCGAGUGGCGAACGGGUGAGUAAUAUAUCGGAACGUGCCCAGUCGUGGGGGAUAACGUAGCGAAAGCUACGCUAAUACCGCAUACGAUCUAUGGAUGAAAGCGGGGGAUCGCAAGACCUCGCGCGAUUGGAGCGGCCGAUAUCAGAUUAGGUAGUUGGUGAGGUAAAGGCUCACCAAGCCGACGAUCUGUAGCUGGUCUGAGAGGACGACCAGCCACACUGGGACUGAGACACGGCCCAGACUCCUACGGGAGGGCAGCAGUGGGGAAUUUUUGGACAAUGGGCGCAAGCCUGAUCCAGCAAUGCCGCGUGCAGGAUGAAGGCCUUCGGUUGUAACG